UCUGUGCAGGAUAGUGUCACCCUGCAAAGAUGAUACUCUAUUUACCUGGCCACUCUUCUGCCACUUCCCAGGGGUUGGAAAUGAUAAGACACUGACUAUUAUUUUUUUUUAGCCUUUUUCUUAUGAUCUGUUCCGGAUUUGCUGUCACUACAGUGGACCAAGUAUCUCACCUCAACAAUGUCUGCACAAGAAGCUGAGCUAUAGGCUCCCAUCACAGCAUGCAAGAUCUCUGAAGGAAGACUGAACUCAGAGAAAGCAUGUGGCAACUCUCUGGCUGACUAAGUUGUUCAAUAAGUUGUAAGUGCACUAAGGGAAGUGGACAGAAAAGUGUCUGCUGAAGAAACUCCCAUAUUCACCAUGUAAGAUCCUACCCACAGACAUCAAGCUCCCGAAGGAAUAACAAGCAAGCUACUGACCCUGGAAAGAAAGAAAAAACAAACAAACCACAAGCUGGAAACAGAAAGGGGCAACUCUUAAAGACAGACUGUACUUCAACAAUCUCAAGUUCUACU